CCUACGGGAGGCAGCAGUGGGGAAUAUUGCACAAUGGGGGAAACCCUGAUGCAGCGACGCCGCGUGAGUGAAGAAGUAACUCGUUAUGUAAAGCUCUAUCAGCAGGGAAGAAAAUGACGGUACCUGAGUAAGAAGCCCAGGCUAACUACGUGCCAGCAGCCGCGGUAAUACGUAGGGGGCAAGCGUUAUCCGGAUUUACUGGGGGUAAAGGGGGCGUAGACGGCAGUGAAAUUCUGGAGUGAAAGGCGGGGGCUCAACCCCCGGACUGCUCUGGAAACUGUACGGCUGGAGUGCAGGAGAGGUAAGUGGAAUGCCUAGUGUAGCGGUGAAAUGCGUAGAUAUUAGGAAGAACACCAGUGGUGAAGGCGGCUUACUGGACUGUAACUGACGUUGAGGCUCGAAAGCGUGGGGAGCGAACAGGAUUAGAUACCCGUGUAGUC
rnacentral:rRNA from 1 species